AUGCCGCCGCUACUGGACCCGCGGCGGCGCGCUGCACAAUGUCCCCGUCGGCGGCAGGUACCGCCGGCAUGCCAAGCGCAGCGCCAAGCCCAAGGCGGCGUCGACCGCCUCCGGAGCCGGAGCAGGGACGUCGUCCGCAACAUCAAUGACGCCCAACACCACUGGCACCACCACCUCGUCGCCCGCUCUCCAGUACUCCAUCUUCCCGCACGCCAUGGAUCACCAGAUGGCUGGGCAGCUAGCUGUGGCAAUGCCCACCACAAUGGCGGCGACACAGGGCAUGUUUCAAACAGGGCUACAGAGCGGCGGCAUGGAGGAGUGGGGGGGGCGGCGCAGAUGCAGAGCUUCCCUUUCCUGCAAGCCAUGGAUCACCAGAUGGUCGGGCCGCCAGCUGCGGCAAUGCCCACCACAAUGGCGGCGUUGCAGGACAUGUUCCAACAAGUGCUACAGAGUGGCGGCAAUGGCGACGACGGAGUCGGAGAAGACCACCAGUUCCACCACCAGCAGCAGGAUUACACAAGCAGCAGGGGCAUCUACGGAGACGUCGUCAAUGGCAAUGGCGGCGGUGGCCACAAUUUCUAUUCCAGCACCAGUAAUGCACCUGGUAAUUAA
rnacentral:rRNA from 1 species